UACAGAGGGUGCAAACGUUGCUCGGAAUUAUUGGGCGUAAAGCGCGUGUAGGCGGCCUGUUAAGUCAGUUGUGAAAGCCCAUGGCUCAACCAUGGAAGUGCGACCGAAACUGGCAGGCUGGAGUCCUGAAGAGGGUGGCGGAAUUCCCAGUGUAGAGGUGAAAUUCGUAGAUAUUGGGAGGAACACCGGUGGCGAAGGCGGCCACCUGGGCAGGUACUGACGCUGAGACGCGAAAGCGUGGGGAGCAAACAGG
rnacentral:rRNA from 1 species